GGUUCCCUGGGGCAUUCGCCAAUCAAAAAUGUUCUUGAGCCGAUACACUUCCAACCGGAGGCUGUCUCGAUAGAAGUUGUUGUGCAUGUCCGCCAGCCGGAAAGCCUUAUGCUUCGCGAGCGCCACCACCUGAACCCGUGGGUUCAGGGCGACUUUGGUAGCGGUGUCUUGGGGAACUU
rnacentral:other from 1 species